AUAAUUUCAGCUACCAUUUGUGAUUAAAAACGAACAAUGCUUACUCCCAAGGAAUAUCUGACAAUUUGGGUCUACUUCUGAAUUUCGUCCUCAUUAAACUGUUUACUUACCUGGUUUUAGAAGUCUUUACGUAUCAAUCUAUUUUUUUUAGAAUGAAGUUAGAAGAUGUUCUAGCACCAGAGACUAUUAGAAGUUGGUAAGAUAUGCCGAUACAGCGGUUUGAGAACAGUUUGGGAAACUUUGGGUAGAAAAUAUGCUCGCAAGGAAAACCGACAAUGGGAUGCUCAAAAUGCUAUCAAUGACUUAACUGGUAAGGAUGAUGUUUUUCCUAUCUAAACUUUGUUUUUCGACAGCUUCUCAAAAACGAAAUCAUUACCAAGAUUCAGUUUAAUUAGUUUUCUCAUCAUAUCCAAAUUUUAUGUAGUUUAUAUAAUAUCCAUAAAUAAUUCAUAACAAAAGGGCAGAAAUGAUAACAAUCUAUGCUAACAGUAGAGAAGCGAAUUAAAAAUUGAACUUAGCUAAAAAACACAUACCUUUCAAGGAUCGGAGCCUCAGAAAAAUUUAUGAAGUUCACGCAAAUAUUUUUAGGUCUCAAUGCACCUAUACUGCAAACCAACGAAAAUGCAAAUGCAUUAAUACAAUUGCCAAUACCAAUUUCUAAGAUUUUAGCAUUAUCUUUACCCUUGCAACUGAAAACCAAAAAUCCCAGAAAAAUGAGCAAGAAGCUUAAGCAGAAAAAAAACAUAUUUUAAACCACCAAAACCCAAUACCCAUUUAACCUGAGAUUUUAGUGUUCUCUUUACCCUUGCAACCAAAAACCAAAAAUCCCAGGAAAAUGAGCAAGAAGCUUAAGCAGAAAAAAAACAUAUUUUAAACCACCAAAACCCAAUACCCAUUUAACCUGAGAUUUUAGUGUUCUCUUUACCCUUGCAACCAAAAACCAAAAAUCCCAG